rnacentral:rRNA from 1 species
GACGAACGCUGGCGGCGUGCCUAAUACAUGCAAGUAGAACGCUGAAGGAGGAGCUUGCUUCUCUGGAUGAGUUGCGAACGGGUGAGUAACGCGUAGGUAACCUGCCUGGUAGCGGGGGAUAACUAUUGGAAACGAUAGCUAAUACCGCAUAAUAGUAGAUGUUGCAUGACAUUUGCUUAAAAGGUGCAAUUGCAUCACUACCAGAUGGACCUGCGUUGUAUUAGCUAGUUGGUGAGGUAACGGCUCACCAAGGCGACGAUACAUAGCCGACCUGAGAGGGUGAUCGGCCACACUGGGACUGAGACACGGCCCAGACUCCUACGGGGGGCAGCAGUAGGGAAUCUUCGGCAAUGGACGGAAGUCUGACCGAGCAACGCCGGGUGAGGGAAGAAGGUUUUCGGAUCGUAAAGCUCUGUUGUAAGAGAAGAACGAGUGUGAGAGUGGAAAGUUCACACUGUGACGGUAGCUUACCAGAAAGGGACGGCUAACUACGUG